rnacentral:rRNA from 1 species
UACGGGGGGGGCAAGCGUUGUUCGGAAUUACUGGGCGUAAAGGGCGCGUAGGCGGCCUGCUAAGUCGGACGUGAAAUCCCUCGGCUCAACCGAGGAACUGCGUCCGAUACUGGUGGGCUUGAAUCCGGGAGAGGGAUGUGGAAUUCCAGGUGUAGCGGUGAAAUGCGUAGAUAUCUGGAGGAACACCGGUGGCGAAGGCGGCAUCCUGGACCGGUAGUGACGCUGAGGCGCGAAAGCUAGGGGAGCAAACGGG